UUAACAAAAUAUAUACACAAAAACCAUUAGUGUUGUCUAGCAAGAGCAUUAACAUAACUUUAAAAAUAUGCAUCAAGAUCCAGGUUCAUCAACGGGUUUGUCCUGUCUCUAAUGUUCUAGAUAAAAUCUUCAAUUUCGACUCCAAUGAAUCAUAAUCAAGUAAGCAUCAUCACAUAAAACUUGCUAGGUCACAAUAUCAUAGACAUUUAUAAUCCACAGACCACAACUUAGACUCCAUUUGCAGUUCAACUUGACGAAAAGAAUUGUUGUUACCGUUGAUCAAGAUCAUUACAGUGAACCAUUGUUGAAACCAACUGCUCAACUCCUAAAAUCCCACUGCUGGAUCGGUGGUGUUUUGCGCAUGAGCUAUGAUGGUCAUGAUAAUCUGCCACCCAAAAAAUCCUCAACUUGAUUUUGUAGCCACCGCCACCCACCGUAGUUGUUUCCAUUUUACGAAAUCAGCAGCUAGCUCCUUGACCACUUUUUUUUAUCUGAAGUCACAUUCAAGUAUACAUAAGUAGAAGCAUAGUUUUUUUAUAAUCUACUUGCGGAGGGUUGACAUGCUUUAUAUCAAAAUGCUCAAACAUGAUGAAUGGGUAUGCUAUUUAAAUAUUCAAUUUGUCACUUUUCAUUACAUAAUAUUCGGUUGAAGAAUUUCAAUUGGGGGGGGGGGGGGGGGGGGGGGGGGGGUUAGUGUGGUACUUUAUUUACACCUUUGAGAAGUCAUGCACACUUGCGACUCCAAGAAAUUAAUACCAUGGGGUUGAAAGAGUCAAGAUCACACCUAGCCCUUCUUAGUUAAUACAAUGGGGUUUAAGCUUUGAAAGCUUGUUUUAAUAAAAUUAUUUAGAAAACCAAUGGAUGUCCAUUACCUCUGCAUACAAAAUUUCCAUCUGUAAACGUUCAAUUAAAGUUCAGAAAGGAAGAACCUGAAAUAAAAAAAAAAAAGAAAAAUAACAAAAGUAGAUAACAACAAAAAUCUCAUUUACCAAUUGAAUUGAAGACAAUGAAUUGGACCUUAAGGCAACGGAGAUUCUUCAAAGUUUUGAUGCUCGAACUACUCAUCACCAUCGGGCUUUCGGUGGAAGAGAAUCCAACUCCUCCUGAAAGAGUUCAAACACGUUGUUGACGAAUAACAUUAAGUAAAACCAAAGAAACUUUUUCUAUUUACUAUCUUUUUGGUAAAGGUUGUUCAUUAAGUUAACAUUUAAGUUCGUUAAUUCCAUUAAAAAAAUGUUGUUUGAGAUAUCACCUACUUAAUAACUCAUUUUAACAACAGAUAAAACUGAAGUUGCAGGGUAGACCUAAAUAUACAUAUAUUAUGGUUGUUAAUCAUCAUGAACAUAUUGAAUUUGCACUAUUUGUUAAAAAGAAUGGAAAAUUAAAAAGUCCCCCCAAAUUGGAAGACCUGCAAUUUCCAUCGUGUGGCUAAACAUGAAUGGUUUAUGGAAACCAAGGGCAAUCAGAAGCAAAGCUCCAUUAUUUAAAUCAACAUCAAAAGAAAAAUUGAAUAUCAUAAUAAUACCCCUAUAACACCAAAACACACACGAAGAAUUAGAGAUUAACUAAGCCCAGUAAUAACAAAACCAACCUACCAGCGAAAAUCGUUCGUGCAAUCGACGAAAACCCGUGGAGCAGGUGAUUAAGGUAUUGUCGCAGUGCACUACAUGUAUUACCACCCGACAAAAGCCACUGCUUGCCGGAGAUCGGCAUCUAUCAUCGUCACCUGUUGCCGGCUUCAUCACAAUCGCCGCCAUAUAUAAUGAAGUAAAACUUCAUUAUUGAAUGGUAGUUUGAUGGUGGAGUGUGCUAUCUACAUGAAACUAAAACACAGGUUUGAAAAAAAUUGGAGCUCAAUUCAAAUACGAAAUCUCUAAUAGUUGAACAUCAGAAUUAAUACACUACAUUAAGCAACAUCAAUUUAAAACUUGAUAGCUCAAAAAGAUAUAUACUGAAUUAAACCAAGCUCAAUUCAUGUGCUAUUAACACAUACACAAGUCUUGAAAAGUUUAAAUCAAACCGUGUUUCUAAGAUUCAAACUCAAAUUAUGAUAUAUGUUUCUAGGGUUCAAAUGUCAUUAACCCAAUAUUAUUUAUCCAAAAAUUUAAACCCACAAGGUCACAAUUCAAUUUCUUUUUAACUCAAUACGAUUUAUCAAAAAAACUUUCACACCAGAUCACAAUUCAAUUUCUUGCUUCAACCAAAAACCAAAACAAAGCACCACAUGAAAACAAAGAGCAAACAAAAUAAACUCACCGGACAAGACCGAGUCUGAUGGUGAAGUGUGAUAGCGAACAACACAAAGUAACCCAAUCCGAGCGGUACCGAAAUCUUCGCCGGAACCUCACCGGAGGCUAACCGGAAAUUGCGAGAACUUGAUCGGAACCCUAGCCGGGAAACCCUAGACUCGACGACUUCGUCUCUGUUGGUUUGAGGCGAGCACGCGUGGGGUCGGUUGCCGGAGAUUCGCCGGCUUCGGCUCUCUCUCUAUUGUCUUCCGCCUCUGUCUUUCUCCCUUCUCUCUGU
rnacentral:lncRNA from 1 species